AAUCUGCAAGUUGAUAUAUGAUUUGGUCUGUUCAUUUACUUUAAAAAAAUCUGCUUAUUUCAGGUAAUUAUCCAAGGAUUUAGAAGUUACAGAGAUCAAACUAUAGUAGAUCCCUUCAGUUCAAAACAUAAUGUCAUUGUGGGCAGAAAUGGUUCCGGAAAAAGUAACUUUUUCUAUGCAAUUCAGUUCGUCCUCAGUGAUGAAUUCAGUCAUCUUCGUCCUGAGCAAAGGCUGGCUUUGUUGCAUGAAGGCACAGGACCUCGGGUUAUCUCUGCUUUUGUGGAAAUUAUUUUUGACAACUCAGACAACAGAUUACCUAUUGAUAAGGAAGAGGUAUCUCUUCGCAGAGUCAUUGGAGCUAAAAAAGACC
ensembl:lncRNA